rnacentral:rRNA from 1 species
UACGUAGGGGGCAAGCGUUGUCCGGAUUUAUUGGGCGUAAAGCGCACGCAGGCGGUCUUUUAAGUUUCGAGUGACAGGUGGUGGCUCAACUGCCACAGGCCUUGGAAAACUGGAAGACUUGAGGACGAGAGAGGGACGCGGAAUUCCAGGUGGAGCGGUGAAAUGCGUAGAGAUCUGGAAGAACACCAGUGGCGAAGGCGGUUGCCUGGAGCUUUGCUGACGCUGAUGCGCGAAAGCGUGGGGAGCGAUCCGG